CUUUAAGGUCCUGAAGGAACGUUGAAGACGACGACGUUGAUAGGCCGGGUGUGUAAGCGCAGCGAUGCGUUGAGCUAACCGGUACUAAUGAACCGUGAGGCUUAACCUUACAACGCCGAAGGUGUUU
rnacentral:rRNA from 1 species